GGAAGCACCUGAGGCUGAGGCUUCUGCCGCUGUGGAAGCACCUGAGGCUGAGGCUUCUGCCGCUGUGGAAGCACCUGAGGCUGAGGCUUCUGCCGAGGAGGGACCAAUAGUAGAGGAAAUUUCCCCAGAAGAGGCUGCCCCAGUCGAAGAGGCAGCGCCAGUUGAGGCAGAGUUACAUGCAGCCGAAGAGGUAGCAGUAGUAGUGGAGGAAGCCCCAGUGGAGGAAGCCCCAGUGGAGAAAGCCCCAGUGGAAGAACCAGCAGCAGAGGAACCAGCAGCAGAGGAACCAGCAGCAGAGGAACCAGCAGCAGAGGAACCAGCAGCAGAGGAACCAGCAGCAGAGGAACCAGCAGCAGAGGAACCACCGGCGGCAAAGGAGGCUGUGGCGACAGCCCAAGUGUCUGAGGAUGAGGCGCUCGUCGUGGAGGCGGUGAUGCUGGCAGCAGCCUCAGCCCUGGAUGUCGAGGCAGAGGCAGCCCCGGCUGAGGAAGUCAAGGAGGCCCUCUUCACUUCAUGCCACCAAUGUGAAGCCCCAGCUUCUGAGGCUGAUGUGGCAGUCACCCCCAUGGAGGUUGUAGAGGCUGCAUCUGUGGGGGAAGUAGAGGCUCCCCCUGCUGGUGUGGAGGAGGCAGUCGUCGAGGGUGAGGCAGUGGAGGUGACCGCAGAGGAGCGCGCCUCCGAUUGGCCUGCUGAGGUGACCGAGGCAGUGGAGGAAGCCAAGGUGGAAGGUGCACAGAGUAUGAGCCUGAUGUUGCUGACAGCCCAGUCCUGACUGGAGACCAGCGAGAUGUGCCUUCUGGAACAGUCAGCACCCACAGCUGUCAAUCAAACAGGACGAUCAACAUAAAACACACACAGAAUUAGAACUGGUUUGAAUUGAAUUCUAUAAUUCUAUUUAACUCAUUAUAUAUUUAAAUGUUGUCUAAUGACAACAGUUGUCAACCCGGUAACUACAUUCCCGGUUCUCACUCAGUUUCUUGGUCUUGUAUUAUCCCUACCCAUGGUGAGGUGACACUUCUGUAAGGGUUUGAAGUCUGACUUUAUUCCUAGGCUCAGACCCAAAUGACACCUUAUACCCUAUAUAGUGCACUACUUUUGACCAGGGCCUGGGGGAAUAGGGUGCCAUUUGGGAUGGAUUUCAACUAUUUAUCAGUACCACCCUGUUCCCCAAGGUGGCACUGUUACCAAGCUGACGAAGACCACUUGAAUGUAUUUGAAGUUACUUGAUAAAUUAUUGUGUACUUGACAUUGCCUAAUGAAUUCUGACUAUUUUUUUUUUGAUUCAAUGAAAUAAGAUCUGAAUUGUUGUAUUAAACAGUAGGCCAUUAGACAACAUGUAGAUGGUUGUGUUCUUCAGAGACUGUUGAGUUAGUUCUGCAUGGAGUUUUUUUUAUUCAAUCAGGGAACAUCUAGAUUAAGUUUAGUUCUCAAGCCAGUAGACUGUUGGUAGACAGUGUUGUACCCAUGUGAUGUAAAAAAUAAAAUGUUAUUUUUUUCAGUCCAAUAAUAAUUUAUGUAAUAGCUUUGCAGGUGGGGUGGGGUGGUUGUGUGUGACACAGUAUGGAAAGACUAGUUGUCCAAACUAUCCUAUGGUUAUAUAUUCAUGUUGCUUGUGUAUAUUUUGUAUAGAAAGACUAGUUUGAAGAUCCAAACUAACAAUAUCCUGUCACUAUAGCCAUGUGUAUAUUUUGUAUAGAAAGACUAGUUUGAAGAUCCAAACUAACAAUAUCCUGUCACUAUAGCCAUGUGUAUAUUUUGUAUAGAAAGACUAGUUUGAAGAUCCAAACUAACAAUAUCCUGUCACUUAUUUAAGUCAUUAUGUAAGUGCUAAAACAGUUACUAUGAUGUCAUACUCAGAAACGUGUCAUAUGUUGUAUUUCUAAAUGAAAUGGAGCGUUACGCUUAUUCAGAACGGACAAGUGGACUGUCCACUUUUGACUUUGAACUUCAUUGACAUGAUUCCAUAUGUAAUUAUGAGAUUCAAUUUGGAGAGCCCUUUUUUUUAAUGGAUGAAAUGAUCAAUUCAAUAAUUUUUUAUUAUGUAUAGUAUCUGUUAUUGUGAAGACAAAUUCUUUGUAAAUAAAUCAAGGUGAUUUAAACUGUU
ensembl:lncRNA